GGUAUGACGUUCUCAGACAUCGUAAGUACCUCGCAAACGUUUGGUGACCGGCACUAAGUGUUUUCAUUCCUAUGCUUGUCAUGCAGGACGACAUGCAGUCAGACCGAAAUAUAAUCAGGUUCUCUCAGAUUAACUUGAUCUUGCCAACACGAGAGAGCUACUUCGUAGAGAGAAACUCCAGUAUGAUGAUGCUUUACGAAAGCGUGUAUACCCAGGUCCACGUGGCACUGGGCGCAGACGCUGCCACAGCCGCCAAGACGCCAAAGACGUGGUGGACUUUGAGAUUCAGCUGGCACAUGCAAUUGAAUCGCCAGAGAAACGGCUCGACAAUGCCAAACUGUACCACAGAAUGACUAUAGCUGACUUGACUACCAUGUUUCCACAGUUUGCUUGGCUUCGCUACAUACAGAGUCAGUUCAAAAAAUUCGGUGUGGACUAUAAUAUUACAAAGGAUGAGAUGGUCGCCAACGACGCCUUAACUUAUUAUACAAACCUUUCCCCUUGGUUAAUCAAACAUCCAAAAGGACGCUGCUGAACUAUGGCAUGUGGCGUCAGCUGCGUGAUUUCUUAGGUUACCUCGGCCCAACAUUUACCAAGAUUGUGAAGCAAGCCAUAGGAGAGCCUGACGAGGUGUGUGUAGUCCACACUCAAACAAUCUUUCAG